AUGACCUCAUAAAAAAAUAUUGAACCAUUCCUAUUCAAUGUUGAAUAUUCAUCUGCUUUUGUAAAAACCUUCCGUUCAAAUACAGUACAAUUACUUUCCAUCAAUGAGCUAUUAAUUCGAUAUUAUCGAAAACGAUUUGGCAUAUUCAUUUACUUAAAUAACAUAAGCCUUUGGAUUCAAUCCAAAAUUCGUAAUGCAGUGUGUUAACUAAUAUUAAGUGAUUUGGCAUUUAUGAAAAAAAAUGUUAGAAUUACUAACUACUUAAGUCAAUGCUUAGACUUACUUGCUAAGGAAUUAGAAACCAAAGAAAAAAAACCCAAUAACUUCAUUACUAGCUUAAAUAUUGCUUUUUGACAAACAGAUUUUAGAAACACAUAACCUGAUUCAUGAUUGGCCUGUCAUCGCAAAACGCCGAAGCACUCCGUGACGCGACAACGUCCGCGUUAGUUUUAAAAAUUGAAACGUCAAAUUACGACGUUUAAGGGAGUGGCAGUCCCGAUAUUAACGAAACCAAUCGGGACCAUUAUCGUCAAUCCAUUCUCUGGUUUUCUGUUUUAAUUUAAACCACGCCAACGGCCCUUUUCAACUCUCCUGUUACCAACCCUUUUUUUUUUCUUUUAGUUUUGUUACUCAUUUUUAUUUUACAGGUCUAGGGUUUCUCUUCGUAGAAAAUGUUGCAGAAAACCUCUUUUCCUGUCUACAAGUUGGGGGAGUUUUCGGAGCAACUAUCCAGGUCAACCAUGGCUUGAUUCUUUGAUUUUUCCGGUACAAUUCUCUCUUCAAACCCCCCUGUUUAUAGCCAGUUUUACUUUUACCUCUGAAGCUGGUUUGCUUUGAGUGAUCUUUACCCCUUUUUACAAUAGCUGGACACCUGAAAACUUGAGAUUAUUCAUUUAAAGAUUGAUCUGGAGCUGGUUUUGUGGUGUUUUGUUGAGCUUAUUAUUGUUUUAUUGAGUUGCUUUUGAUGGAUGCGUGGGGUAUUUUGAGUGUUGUACCUUUGUUUCUUGAAAUUGCUUCAACUAAUAUCAUAAUUUAAAUUGUUUUUUUGGGGAUUUCUAAGAGUUGCUAACUUACAAGGCUUUUCCCCUCUUUUCUUUUUCCCUCUCUGCUUCCAAAUCUAGUAGCUGAAUGGAAUAUGCUUCCGUGUAUGCCAUCGCUGCCUUUUCGUGUUUGUUUUUCUUUAGUGUUUUCUAUACCUGAAAUGCUUUCUUUUUUGCUCUUUUUUAUUUUUUUCCUAACCCAGGGGUUUUCUACGGGUGUUGGUUUGACCAACCAAAAUAGAAGCCUCUUUCUUGACCAUGUGAUUUUCUUAUAGGGUUCCCCUUGGAUUAUUUUAUUAUCUCUUUUACUUGGCUCUUUUAAUUAAGUGACUGGUGCUUGUUAUGUGCUACUCACUUAUGUAUGGUUUUUUUCCUCCCAUUUUAAGUAUGACCAGGAAAAAAAGGUUUUACUGGAGAUUCAUCAAUCAAUAAUAGGUUGCCCAUUUUUACUUUCUCUUGUUUGACUAGUAAAAUGAAAUCCUUGGUGAGCUUUGCCGAAGCAGUAGUGGAUGCAUAAAAUUUAUGCUGUCUACUUUUACAGGGGUGGCAUUCUUCAAGUGGAUAUGUAUAGUAUUUCUGAACAUCCAAAUGCAGAAACAAUCCUGAUUCAAGUUUCUUGGCUAAAACCACAUAGGAAAAGUCCACUUCUUGAACAAGUAUAAGCUAUGUACCAGGAAGGAGCGCCUGAGUUUGUUAUUGAUCAGGGAAUGUACUACCCUACUGCCACCAACUAUGGAUAUAACUGUACUGGUUUUGAAUCACCCGUUGAAUGGGAGGACCACCAAAAUAUUUUUAGUGCGGAUGGUCCAGAUGUCCAAUAUGUGGGUGCCCAAACUGAAACUUUGCCUUAUGUAUGUUACACACCUAGCUAUGGAUAUGCACAGUCUCCAUACAACCCAUACAAUCCUUACAUUCCUGGUGCUGUGAUGGGUGACAGCCCAUUUGUAGGGGCACCACAAUAUUACACUGUUCCCCCUUAUCAAAACCCCAUAUCUCCAACUGCUUAUGUUCCUUUUGUUAUUCAACCUGAUCGCAUUCGAAAUAGUUCAACAGAAUCUUUGUUUGAUACUCAUGCUUCAAUUGCUAAUAGACCUGAUGGAAGAGGAGUUAAACAUGGUCUUGCUUCAGCAUCUGUAGUGUUUCCUAGAAACACUUCAAAGUCUGCUCCAAAUCAGACAGAUUCCAUGAACAGGGUAUUGGAUGGACAAAGUAAGCAUUCUGCAGUCCAUGGAAACUUUCUUGAUAGUUCUGGUCCAGCUACAGCACGUGUUCAUCAGGGUAGAAUUGCUUCUGGGUCCAUUCAGCCCAUUGGCAACAUUCCUGGUGGGAAACUUUCAUUUCAUCGUUUUCAAUUAAAAAUGGAUCUUCCUGUUGGUAAUGCCUUCCCUGACUAUGGAUCAAGUGCUCCUGGACUUGGUGCACUGGAUAAUCUUCAAUCCAAGAUCCAUGUUGGCAGGGUUUUGAGUGAUGUGCAUGGAUUCCCAGAUACAUUGGGUGAACAGAAUCGAGGUCCUAGAACCAACAGAUUAAAAAACCAACUCAUGGUUAAAGCCUACACAACUAAAGCUGGAAAUAGUGAUGAUGCUGAAGGAAACGUCAUUAUCUAUACUGACCAAUAUAACAAGGAUGAUUUUCCAACUGACUAUGUUGAUGCAAAGUUUUUUGUAAUAAAAUCAUAUAGCGAGGAUGAUGUACACAAGAGCAUCAAAUACAAUGUUUGGUCAUCUACACCACAUGGGAACAAGAAACUGGAGAGUGCUUUUGAAGGUGCACAGAAAAAAGGUGUGGGGAAACCUAGCGGCUGUCCGAUCUUCCUGUUCUUUUCUGUUAAUGCCAGUGGACAAUUCUGUGGUGUUGCGGAGAUGAUUGGCCCAGUUGACUUCCAGAAGGAUAUGGAUUUUUGGCAGCAAGACAAGUGGAGCGGAAGCUUCCCUGUCAAAUGGCACAUCAUUAAAGAUGUUCCAAAUAGCCACUUUAGACACAUCAUAUUAGAGAACAAUGAAAACAAGCCAGUGACUAAUAGCAGGGAUACACAAGAGAUAAUGUACAAGCAAGGUAUGGAGGUGCUGAAAGUAUUCAAAAAUCAUACAAUGAAGACCUCUUUACUUGAUGACUUUAUGUACUAUGAAAAUCGUCAAAGAAUCAUGCAAGAAGAGAAAGCCAGGCUACUAAUUAAAAGAUUUGACAGCCCUGUCCUAGCACCUGCAUUGGAUCCUGUCAAUAAGCUAAACCAUGUUGAGCUACUUCUGAAUGACAAGGAGAAAACUGCCAAGCAAAGUGAUCCUGACAUGUUGAAGAGAACUGUUCCUUCAUCUAGUCAGCAGGUGUCUGCAGAUUCUGAUAUAACUAAUGCAAGAACAAUGGAUGAAAAUUUAGAGCAAAUUGCUAACAAUGCUGCAGCUACUUUAAAGAUUGGCUUGCUCACUAUAAAUACAAAGCAGGAUGAGUCUAAACCUUCUGCAGAUGCUACAGUUGGUGCUAUGAAUGCUACUGCUGUUGAGGUGGUAACAGUAGGAUCAAUGCCUCUGAAAGUCAAUGGUUUUGCUGAAUCUUCUGGUUUUCUAACAGUUGGUACUAUUCCUCUUAAUCCCAAGAUCCUGCAGCUUGGGGAAGGAGGUGUUUCUGCUAAAAGGUGUACCACUAAUGGUACUGAGGCUUAUGAUUAACUGGGGCUUAUCUGUCGGCUGGAACAUACUCAAACCUGGUUGUUAUGAUGCAGUCUUGACUGUUGUAAACCUGAGUGUAUCAUGGUACUCAUUGUUACAGAAUUGUUAGUGUAAAUACUUGUUCAGAAUUCUUACUUGAUUUUGGGAGCUUUAUUGGAUCAUGGUUCUAACAGAGGUUGCCAUAUAUAUUGCAUUGUGAUUGGAAAGGGCAAAAUUGUUCCUUAAUUUGUGAGAGUAAAGAAGUGGAAGAAGUGGGUAUAAUUUAGAAAUACUCCGUAAAGAUGCACUAGAUGAUGCGAUGUCGUUUACGUCUAAUGACUAAUGAUAUAUCAUCAAACUCUCUAAUUCUAACGAGGAAGAAGCAAGACUCACUCAGUCACCUCUGAUGGCAAAGCCAGAUGUUAGACAGACUGUGUUAACACAGGAUGAUGAGUUUUUGAUCAUUGGUUGUGAUGGCAUUUGGGAUGCAAUGUCAAGCCAGUUUGCUGUCAAAGGCAGCAAGAUGACCCGGAAGAAUGUUCCAGAGAAUUAGUCAAUGGAGCAUCUUGCCUGAAUUCAUCAGAUAACCUCAAAGUAUAUGUUACCUGCUUUUCCUCCCCCGCUCAUGUUGAGUCUUGUCCUGUCCAACCUCUCUGAGGAGGCGAGGAAUAGAUUGAAGAGCUUGUUAGAAUGCAAUUGAAUGUAAACAACAAUUAUUUCUUGUUUAUUUACCGUUACUCCUACUGGGAGAAAACAUUGCAAUCUGUUUUUGGCUGAGUUUAGAAAAAGCAGCCAGCAGUCUUGUAGAAUAUCAGAGGCAUUUUUUUUAAUCAUGUUAUGGGCGUCUGGUCUGGAGGUGUAAUUAUU